rnacentral:rRNA from 1 species
GACGAACGCUGGCGGCGUGCUUAACACAUGCAAGUCGAACGAAGUGGCGAACGGGUGAGUAACGCGUAAUCAACCUGCCCUUGAGAGGGGUACAACAGUUGGAAACUACUGCUACUACCGCAUACUGCAGGAGGGGAUGGCGUCGGCUUAGCCAGGUGGAGGGGUAACGGCCCACCAAGGAGAUGAUCAGUUGCCGGUUCUGGAGGAUGAACGGGCACAUUUGGACCGAGAAACGGCCCAGACUCCUACGGGAGGCAGCAGGUGGGAAUCAUCCGAAAUGGACGAAAGGCCGCCUGCGCAAAGCCGGGUGAGGGAUGAAGGCCUUCGGGGUGGAAAGCUCUGUUAAUCGGGACGCGGUACCGGAAGAGAAAGCAACGGCUAACUCCGUGCCAGCAGCCGCGGUAAUAC